UGGGUUUGAUCAUGGCUUAGGAUUAACGCUAGCGGUAUGCAUAAUACAUGCAAGUCAUGCGGCCAGCAAUGGCAGCGGCAAACGGGUGAGUAAUACAUAUUUAAUCUACCCAUAAGAGGAGAAUAACUGAAUGAAAAUUUAGCUAAUACUCCAUAGGAAAUAGAAAGGCAUCUUUUUAUUUUUAAAGUUGCGUUUGCAACACUUUUGGAUGAGAGUAUGUCUUAUCAGAUAGUUGGUGAGGUAAUGGCCCACCAAGUCGAUGACAAGUAGCUAUACUGAGAGGUAGAAUAGCCACAAUGGGACUGAGAUACGGCCCAUACUCCUACGGGAGGCAGCAGUAGGGAAUUUUUCACAAUGGGCGCAAGCCUGAUGGAGCAAUACCGCGUGGAUGAUGAAGGCCUUCGGGUUGUAAAAUCCUUUUAUUAGAGACGAAUGAUUAUAUUAGGAAAUGAAUAUAAUUUGACUGUACCUUUUGAAUAAGAGACGACAAACUUCGUGCCAGCAGUCGCGGUAAUACGAAGGUCUCAAGCGUUAUCCGGAUUAACUGGGUGUAAAGGGAUGCGUAGGUGGAAAAAUAAGUUUAUUGUUAAAUGGUAUUGCUCAAAAAUAGCAUGCAAUAAAAACUAUUUUUCUUGAGUUGGAUAGAGAGUUUUAGAACUCCAUGUGGAGCGGUGGAAUGCGUAGAUAUAUGGAAGAAUACCAGAGGCGAAGGCGAAAACUUAGGUCCAAACUGACACUUAGGCUCGAAAGUGUGGGGAGCAAAUAGGAUUAGAUACCCUAGUAGUCCACACCGUAAACGAUGUUCAUUAGAUUGUUUGCCCGAAUGGGUGAGAAUCGUAGCUAACGCGUUAAAUGAACCACCUGAGUAGUACAUUCGCAAGAAUGAAACUCAAACCGGAAUUGACGGGGACCAGCACAAAAGGUGGAGCAUGUUGUUUGAUUCGACAGUACACGCUGAACCUUACCAAGUCUUGACAUCCCCUGCGAAGUUAUAGAAAUAUAAUGGAGGUUAACAGGGAGACAGGUGAUGCAUGGUUGUCGUCAGUUCGUGUCGUGAGAUGUUGGGUUAAGUCCUUCAACGAACGCAACCCUUAUUGUUAGUUAAUUCAUCUAACGAAACUGCCUUUAGCUUUUAGCUUAGGAGGAAGGUGGGGAUGACGUCAAAUCAUCAUGUCCCUUAUGACUUGGGCCACAAACGUGCUACAAUGGCUAUUACAAACUGUUGCAAAAUCGUAAGAUCGAGCUAAUCAGAUAAAGGUAGUCUCAGUUCGGAUUGAGGGCUGCAAUUCGCCCUCAUGAAGUUGGAAUCGUUAGUAAUCUCGAAUCAGACAUGUCGAGGUGAAUACCGUUCUCUGGUCUUGUACACACCGCCCGUC
rnacentral:rRNA from 1 species